rnacentral:lncRNA from 1 species
ACAGUCCUAGUUGUGAUGUUAUUAGGGUUACAUUGCUGCUAGAGGACACUAGGACUAGGAUAGUAUGUGUUUCAUUAAACCUUACAAGUAUGUUUGAUUCCACGUUUAUUGGUUUCACAGGCCUGUUCUUAUUGUUUUCAUAUGUAUGAUGUGAUUCUAAAUGUGUAAUUUGUGUUUGCUUAAUUUCUCCUUGUUUAUUUUUUUCCCCACAUUCAUAUGAAAAAUUGAUAUGAUGGAUCUCAUAAGUCUGGCAUCUUUGCAUGCAGGUGAAUGGCGGUGGCGUGGAUGUUGGGUGGGCACUCAGACGGAAUAUGUUACCGUACUCACACAAUAGGCUCAAGAGGGUCCUUAUUUCAGGAGCCACUGUAUGGGAGGGGCUAAUGGAGCUGGCAUACUACAUUCUUCGGAGUGCCAAUAGACUCGAAAGUAUGGUCUUAGAUCCAAAGAUAAGGAUUGGGGGUCCUCAGCUGGAUGGUUGGAUGAUUGAUAUUGGUAGGGAGACGAUCAAAAAUAUUUUUGAGGGAGAGGAGUUUCAGAGCAUUAUUACUAUUCUGUAAGAAUGGUAAGAUAGGCCACAGGAUUUUGGUGGUCACACCAAGUGGCCAUGUUUGAUUAUGCCAUAGGUUUGACCAGUAUGGUCAUAAAUGUUUGUUGUUUUCAUUUCCGACCUCAGGAAAUGUAAAUUAAUACUCCCUCCAUCCAUUUUUCAUUCGCGUAUACUUCUCGGCAGUGACCAAAUUAAGUUUGAAAAAAAAACCGUUUCAUUUUUGCUGUUGCAUGUGACGUGGCCCACGCCUGCAUGCAUGCGAAUAAAAGAUAGGACACAUGAAGUUUAGUUAGUAAGGGUAAGAAUACCAAAAUACUUUUGAGCAUUCUUCUGUCAUUAAUGUAACUGAAAUAAAAGAGGGACUGUCAGUGGAAUUAAUAUGAUUUAAUCUGGGUGUUUUGUUUAUGUGAACUAAUUUUAGUUUCUUCAUUUUAUUUUAUUUUAGUUCUUAAAAUGAGAAAUACAUAAAAACAGAGUUUUAGUUUUGGUAUCUGCCAAUUUAGAAACUAUGAUGGAACAAAAUGGAGGACUAAAACUUAGUCUCUAGAAACUAAACAUCCCUUAGGGCUGAUUUGGUGACCAGGGAUCACGGAGGGAUUAGAGGGGAUUGAGGGGGAAAUUAGUUUAUUUUUCCCUCAAUCCCCUCCGAUCCCCCCGUGAUCCCCUUAUCACCAAAUUAACCCUUAAGGGCUGAUUUGGUGCUAAGGGAUCCUAAGGGGAUCCAUGAGGGAGGAAUCCCCUUGUUAUUCAAAAUUGAAUUGUAAGGGGAUUUCUCCCCCAUGGAUCCCCUUGGAAUCCCUUACCACCAAAUUAGCCCUAAGGGGUGUUUAAAUGCACUAGAGCUAAAACUUAGUCUCUAGAAACUAAACAUCUCUUAGGGCUUGUUCGUUUUGGUGAUAAUCCACAUGUAUUGGGUGGGAUUGAGUCGGUUUAAAUCCAUAACAAGUCAAAAUACAUCUCAAUCCCACCCAAUACACUCAAAUACACAUGUAAUAUCAAUAACCGAACAAGCCCUUAAGGAGAGAGACAUGUCCUAAACGUAUCCUCUUGGAUGGUCGCGUCCAUAUCCUCGAGCAGUGCGGUCUUGCUCAAGCAGCUUUUUGUAACGAUUAAAUACAUAUAGGACAUGCAUACGUCAGCAAGUGACUUAGUGUCGUACCCGUGAAGCACGGACGACGCGACGCUCUCCAAACCGGUAACGAUUAUGCGUGGACGAUCAGUCUGCAUAGAUUGGAAUUUGGAAAUUUUGGUCUGCUUCAUUUUUUCUCUCGCUCAUUUUUGGCCCAACGGCCCAGCCCAUUGAGUAAAGCAACUGGUGCCCUAUAUAUACGCAAAAAGACAUGACUGCCUCUGCACACCGCCACUCGCCCACACGCGAAGGCACCUAGCAGCCGCCACUCGCCGAACUGAGGAACACGCCUGGCGACGGGAUACAGCAGCAGCGCGCCCCUCUAUCCCCGACGCGACGGCGCCCUGCAGCUGCAGGCACGGCUCCACACCUCCACUCUUCUCCUCCGUCUCCGUUCAUCUCUGCUGAGUAGUUGUGGUUGUGGCGUGUGGAUUAAUCGCGAUUAAUCGAUCUGAUCGGCGCUCUGGCGAUCAGAAACGAUCGACCGAUUAGAAAACAUUGGUGCUCAGGCAUCUGCAUCGGUCAACACCCCCCCCCCCCCCCCCUCUUGUUCUGUUCCGGUACUGCCUUUCAGCCCUCGAGUCCUACUGUAGGUGUUGAAGUAGUAAUUUGUUUUGUGCGCGCAAGUUCGAUUUCAUGUCUGCAUGUCAAUAGCUUUCCAUUUUUUUGGUCAUCUAUUUAGUGCAGUUUUGAAGUACAUCAUUUUUUACCGAUUUUUCGUUACUCCAUCUGUGUGCCUGGGAAUUGCGGAUCCCCACCCACCCCACCACGUCUUCUGAAGGGAGUUCAAGAGGAACCCCUUGAAUUCUAUGGGGUUUGUCCGCUCUGAAAUUUCUUUUGCUAUUUGUUUCGAUUUUUUCCGAAGUAUCCAAACAAGACCUCACGAAUCUGCUUAUGUAUCAAUAAUGUGGGUAUAUCUAUUUGUUUGUUCUCAUAGUCUGGCAUAUGUAUUAUAGAUAAACCUGUUCCAAUGGGCAAACAAAAAGAGGGUGUGGACAAAAGAACUGCUAGGAAGAUGAUCCGAUCUACGGAAGGCUGUGCAAAGAGCAUUACUUUCGAGAGGAACAACAAAUCAGACGAUGUGCAGCUUCACGAUCUGCCGAAUGUAAGAGUAAUUCGAAAUAGUUCAAUGCUCCUUUUGCAGUAAGCAUAUAUGUGAAAUGGUUCAAAAGAGUUUGAUAGGACCAGGUAAUCAGUGGUUCAGUUUACUCGGCUGCUUACUCACGCUACUUACUACGUGCAGGACAUCCUAGGUAGCAUACUAUCACGGUUGACAUUCAGAGAAUCCUCACAGAUGGGCCUUGUUUCUCAUACCUGGCGGCGGCUGUGGAGAAGCUGUUGCCGGAAACUGGUCUUCACCAGUGCCACCAUGUUCCAACCCGGAAAUAGGAGCAUCAAACAUACAAGGACCAACUUUGCCAUGAGAGUCAACAGUUUCUUGCGUCAGCUACGCACUCAUCCUACUCUUAAUAAGUUUGUUAUUAAGUUCGGGCUGCGCAGGAAGCACACUCGCCAUGUCAACAGAUGGAUUCGCUUCUGCUCCGUGUCGCGAGCAAGACACAUCACUAUUAAUUUCACUCCUGGAGUGAAAGAUUUUUUCAUGGGUCCAGCCAACAGCAAGUACAUCUUCCCCCUGAACGUUUUCAGUGGUCCAGAAGGCUCCUCUACACAUGUCAGAACUCUUCAUCUGGGCUAUGUCUGUCUGGACACAACCUCGUCUGAUUUCAUGAUCUUUGCAAAUCUUAAGAAGCUCACUCUGCACAAAAUUUCCUUUUUGGGAGACCUCCAGUGCCUGAUGCUGCCAGAAUGCAAUUCUCUUGAGUGUCUGAGCAUCAGCUUCUGUUCCUUGCCUGGUUUAAGCACAUGCCAACCGCUGCAACGUCUGCGAUGUGUUCGUUUGCACUACUGCUAUCUAAAAAAGAUUGAGCUGGAAGCUCCAAAUCUAACAUCGUUUGACUUGACCAACCAACCAAUUCCAUUUGUGCUUGGUGGAUCUCUGAAUGUAAUGGAAGCCAACAUUAAACUGUUAGCUAAGGACUCACCUUAUGGUGAUAAUCUGGACUACAUCUACACUGAGCUUCCUGCUGCGCUGUCUCAUGUGCAUAAACUCUCGAUAACCUCGGGUCUCUUCGUUUAUGAUCAGGUUUUGUCUGUUGCUGAAAGCACUUAAGUUCAUUCAACUAUUACUUACCUUUAUUUGCACCUGACAUGUUUGUUCUUCAUCUCAUACAUAUUUUGACUCUCAUGGUUAUAUUUCAGCUGCAAGGGUUUUCCAAAACCUCAGCCAGAUUCAUCAAUCUGAGGCAUCUGACCAUGUAUUUGCCUCUUUAUGGGGAACCUAAGUCAAUUAGUGGGAUUCUUCGCUUGGCCUACCUACUGGAAUUGGCCCCAGCUCUAGAAGAAUUGGAAUUGCAUGUGAGUGGCUUACUAACUCUAUAAUCUGUUAUAGAUUUUCUCAAGGUAUGCCUUAUCUGUAGAAGUUUUUGUAGAGCAAUUGCAGCACUAGUGUACCAGGCAUAUUGUUUAUCAUCUUUGCUAAUUUUGAAUUGUCUGAAUAUUUAUUAUCCCUCAUUAAUCCAAAACUCUACAGUUCAAAAUUGCAGUAACAUAAAAGUUGUUGAGUGUUGAUGUUGUAGUUAAAAAAGAUUUAAAAAGACAAAAAAGUAGCAAUGUUGCAAUCAAUUGAACAUUGAACACUAUUGUACUUCAUUACCAUACAAGCCGAGGUGCCCAUGCGUUGGUAGUUUGCUUCAAGGUCUCGAAUACAUGAUAGUUUAAAAUUGUAUUGCUGGAACUGGGUGAUGUUCCACAGCUUAGAAAGUGGUCUUAUAAGUAGGCCUGUGGGUACCGUGUACGAAUGUAAAGGAGCAAGUCGAAGUGGUUUCAGCCAAAACAAAUAGACUAACUAUGUACAUUUCAUCUUCUCCACUUCCUCACGCAGCCACAGCCAUUAAUUCCCUCACACUGUCAUGAGCUCACGGUCGCACGACUCCUUCCCCCACUUCCUCUAUGCCUCCCACAACGGUGACCCACUAGGCGAAACAACACUUCUACGCCUCCCUCGACGGACAACCCACCCGAGCCCACACAUCUCCUGCAACGCUGCUCCUCCAGCGACUCUGCUCCUCGCCUCCUCCCACAACGGCGAAGUGCAGUUCUCCUCCCGCGAAACGGCAAGGGUGGCGCUGCUCCUCGCCGCCUCCAUGACGGCGCUCCUCCCGCGACCGGCUGCUUUGGCCACCCAACCAACAUUGUGCAUGCCAAGAAAACAAUGCUGUGGUUGAUGUCAUAAUAAACACAUAUUGGUUUGAGCUCUCACAUAAAACAAUUUUCGUAACAUUCACUAGUGAUGGACAGAGAAUAGACAAAAAAAACACAAGGAACAACAGCCAAUGAUGUAUAUGCCUGUGGCAUUGGGCUGGCUGGUUAAGCAUAUGGCCAACAGUCAUUUGUUGUCAUGUGGCCAAAUGUGAAUAGGUGAGGGUAGUAAAAUGAACCUUUUCCCUUCAAAGAAAUCAAACUUUUAGCCUUUUAUUUUACCGUUCCCAUCGUCUUCUCCAGCCAUUCUACAAGCAGAAGCGCUCCUCUUCAGUUCUGCCUGCGCAGAUCUAUCUUGGUUGUGCCCUCUCUCUCCCCCCCCCCCCCCAUAGCCACAGUCCUCAUACUCCCCUGCUUUCUUCCCCCCUCUCUGGCUUCUUUUUAACGAGGUUGUUCCUGCAUUCCCGGAACGUUCUGGUUACUAUGUUUGGGACCAAACCAAACAUUUAGCUCAAUAUCGCCACACUUAGGCUUUAAACCCCAAAAGGGCAAGCUUGAUGUGGCGGUGAGAGCUGUCUCACUUGAGUCUCAUCAUGUUGGUGAGAGCCUCUGGCACUGGGUCUGCUCUCUUAGGCUUUAAACCCACCAUAUGUCUGAUAUAUUUCAUUGGUCUCAUUUGUGUUGUGUGAAUCAUUUUCACCAAAUGAUAACUUUACCAAGCAAGGUUUUCAAGUCGAUAAGUCGAGUCGACAAGGUACCGACUUGGUGACUAGACGAUAAGUCAGUUGACUAGUCGUCGACUUGCCAAUAUAGUGGAUGUUUUGCCUAUAUAAUUGCUUCAUAUAGACAAUAUAACAUUUAUAUAUGAAGAAAUAGGAUGUUUUACCUCAUUUGAAGCCUGAAAUUGAACGAAACUGAAAUAAACAGCAAGUCUUACCUCAUUUGAAUCCUCAAACUGAACCAAAUCAGACACAUAAGUGAUAAGUCAUAAACUCAUAAGUCAUAACAGCCAUAUAGUUCAAAUUGGAAAACAAAUAGCAAGAAAAUAUAGUUCAAACUAGAAAGGAAAAAAGUCAUAAACUCAAAAGAAAAUAUAGUCCAACCCCUGUGAGGCAGUAGUGUGGCAGUCCCACCUGUCAACAUAGCUGUGGUAGAACAUACCACCACCACUGUCGCUUUUUAAGUAGUGAAGAUUAUUUGGGUGAUACAAUACAGUUUUAUCCAUUUCUGAAGCCAAUUGGAUUUUUUUGUAUUGGCAUUGAUGAAAGUAUGUGAAAUGUAAACUGUAAGUAGUACUUUCAUACGGAUGUCAAAUAUAACAGUCCUAAUUGUGAUGUUAUUAGGGUUACAUUGCUAGAGGACACUAGGACUAGGAUAGUAUGUGUUUCAUUAAACCUUACAAGUAUGUUUGAUUCCACGUUUAUUGGUUUCACAGGCCUGUUCUUAUUGUUUUCAUAUGUAUGAUGUGAUUCUAAAUGUGUAAUUUGUGUUUGCUUAAUUUCUCCUUGUUUAUUUUUUUCCCCACAUUCAUAUGAAAAAUUGAUAUGAUGGAUCUCAUAAGUCUGGCAUCUUUGCAUGCA